rnacentral:sRNA from 1 species
CAAUACAUCUCUCUUCUGAGUAUCCUUACGGGCUUUUCGAAGAGAGCAAAAUUUUUUUUCAACCCUUAAGUGGAGUGGUAUAGUGGCCCGUAUAGCCGGCAUUAACAUUCCUGAU